UUUAGGGAAAGAUUAUUGGAGCCAAACCGGAAGACAAAGAGCUUCAGUAGUAUGGUGAUAUUUUAUCUGUGGUACCAGUGGUGUUUCCUUGAUAUGUUGGUGAUGGUGGUGAGAGGAAGAGUCAUGCCUGGAAAGUCUGCAGAACAAAACUGCCAGGUGACAAUGAGCAAAAGGAAAAAAAGGAGCCUCAAUUGAAAGAGGCCUUCACCAAGGAAAAGCCAGUUGAGGUGUUCAAGCUCCAUCCAAGGUUAAUCCAACUAUUGCUAUCU
rnacentral:lncRNA from 10 species